AUCCUGAUGUUAGAGAAUUAUAUUAUUCUAACUGCUAGAAGUGAAUUAGAGUGGGGGUUUUAUACUGGAUUAUAUACAGAAUCUCAGAGUUUCGUUUGUCUCAUUAAUCGUCAACGUACAGUCGAGGAAACAUAAGUAAAGGUCGAGAGUAUUACUGUAACUAUAGACUGUGGCUAUCGUAGAGACAUUUACACUUGCCGAUAUUGGCAAUUCAUUAUCAUGGGUGAAAAGAAUCACGACCUUCGUCUGACGAAAGAAAGUCCGAUCCGCUUCCAUAAAAUUUCAAUAAAUCGGCCGCCAAACAGUGCGUUGAAUUCAACGGGAAAACGAGAUCGAAAGUCGGUGGUUCUCCACCCACGGAGAAACUCACCACUGACAUGCUUUGUUUAAUUUACUUCGAUGGUAUCGACAAUGGACGCCAAUUAUUCUGGAAGGGGAAAGACGAUUCCAAUGAAUAAGUGGACAUUCGGUGCUGCACGUUCAGACGCGUAAAAGAAACACUUUCACCGAGCAUUUGGGUUCGACGGAGAAAGUUCCUCCAACCUCCGUUACGUCUUUGUUAAUAAGAAAUUUGACUGGAAAACUAAUAAAAAUAAAAUUUUGAAUCUGGUCCUUAUGUGACCUUCUAGAGUAGUGCCGUUUUAUGUAAUCUUUAGAAAUCUUACCGCUAUUCGGAAUAUUUAUAAGCAUUACCAAAAAUUUUAAAUUUUCAUAGAUUGUUUUAUUAUUAUGUUUAAGUAAAA
rnacentral:lncRNA from 13 species